AUUGAACGCUGGCGGCAGGCCUAACACAUGCAAGUCGAGCGGAGCGACGGACGGGUGAGUAAUGCCUAGGAAUCUGCCUGGUAGUGGGGGAUAACGACCGGCAACGGGCGCUAAUACCUCCUACUAUCAGAUGAGCCUAGGUGGGAUUAGCUAGCUGGUGGGGUAAGGGCCUACAAAGGCGACGAUCCGUACCUGGUCUGAGAGGAUGAUCAGUCACACUGGAACUGAGACACGGUCCAGACUCCUACGGGAGGCAGCAGUGGGGAAUAUUGGACAAUGGGCGAAAGCCUGAUCCAGCCAUGCCGCGUGUAUGAAGAAGGUCUUAGGAUUGUAAAGCACUUUAAGUUGGGAGGCGUUACCGACAGAAUAAGCACCGGCUAACUUCGUGCCAGCCGCCGCGGUAAUAC
rnacentral:rRNA from 1 species